rnacentral:rRNA from 1 species
CCUACGGGAGGCAGCAGUGGGGAAUAUUGCACAAUGGGCGAAACCCUGAUGCAGCGACGCCGCGUGAGUGAAGAAGGACUUCGUUGUGUAAAGCUCUAUCAGCAGGGAAGAAAAUGACGGUACCUGAGUAAGAAGCCCCGGCUAACUACGUGCCAGCAGCCGCGGUAAUACGUAGGGGGCAAGCGUUAUCCGGAUUUACUGGGUGUAAAGGGCGCGUAGACGGCCGUGCAAGUUUGGAGUGAAAGGCGGGGGCUCAACCCCAGAACUGCUGCGGAAACUGUACGGCUGGAGUGCAGAGGAGGUAGGUGGAAUUCCUGGUGUAGCGGUGAAAUGCGUAGAGAUUACGAAGAACACCGGUUGCGAAGGCGGCUUACUGGACUGUAACUGACGUUGAGGCUCGAAAGCGUGGGGAGCAAACAGGAUUAGAUACCCGUGUAGUC